CCCUCUUACUCCGCUCCUCAUUAUAAUCAAUAAUUUUGAUCUAUUAUUGAUCAUUCUGGGGGACGUGAAAAGCAUACAUGGAUUCCCCUUCACUUCCAGAAAAUUCUUUUCAGCUGAUAUGACGCUCCAGGUACAAGAACCGACCAUCCCCUGAGCCCAUUAACGCCAGGAUGACCAAACAUCACGUGUCGUGGAGGACUAAAAUGUUUGUAGGUACUCUUAGGAAUACUGGAUACACUAGGAUUGAGGAAAAUAAAAGAAGAUGUAUUCCGUCCGCCAACCCCCUACGCAAAUCUCAACCAGGAUCGUUUCGUUGCCCCACGACUCUACACCCACUUCAGUACUCCCAGCCCCUCUUACUCCGCUCCUCAUUAUAAUCAAUAAUUUUGAUCUAUUAUUGAUCAUUCUGGGGGACGUGAAAAGCAUACAUGGAUUCCCCUUCACUUCCAGAAAAUUCUUUUCAGCUGAUAUGACGCUCCAGGUACAAGAACCGACCAUCCCCUGAGCCCAUUAACGCCAGGAUGACCAAACAUCACGUGUCGUGGAGGACUAAAACGUUUGUAGGUACUCUUAGGAAUACUGGAUACACUAGGAUUGAGGAAAAUAAAAGAAGAUGUAUUCCGUCCGCCAACCCCCUACGCAAAUCUCAACCAGGAUCGUUUCGUUGCCCCACGACUCUACACCCACUUCAGUACUCCCAGCCCCUCUUACUCCGCUCCUCAUUAUAAUCAAUAAUUUUGAUCUAUUAUUGAUCAUUCUGGGGGACGUGAAAAGCAUACAUGGAUUCCCCUUCACUUCCAGAAAAUUCUUUUCAGCUGAUAUGACGCUCCAGGUACAAGAACCGACCAUCCCCUGAGCCCAUUAACGCCAGGAUGACCAAACAUCACGUGUCGUGGAGGACUAAAACGUUUGUAGGUACUCUUAGGAAUACUGGAUACACUAGGAUUGAGGAAAAUAAAAGAAGAUGUAUUCCGUCCGCCAACCCCCUACGCAAAUCUCAACCAGGAUCGUUUCGUUGCCCCACGACUCUACACCCACUUCAGUACUCCCAGCCCCUCUUACUCCGCUCCUCAUUAUAAUCAAUAAUUUUGAUCUAUUAUUGAUCAUUCUGGGGGACGUGAAAAGCAUACAUGGAUUCCCCUUCACUUCCAGAAAAUUCUUUUCAGCUGAUAUGACGCUCCAGGUACAAGAACCGACCAUCCCCUGAGCCCAUUAACGCCAGGAUGACCAAACAUCACGUGUCGUGGAGGACUAAAACGUUUGUAGGUACUCUUAGGAAUACUGGAUACACUAGGAUUGAGGAAAAUAAAAGAAGAUGUAUUCCGUCCGCCAACCCCCUACGCAAAUCUCAACCAGGAUCGUUUCGUUGCCCCACGACUCUACACCCACUUCAGUACUCCCAGCCCCUCUUACUCCGCUCCUCAUUAUAAUCAAUAAUUUUGAUCUAUUAUUGAUCAUUCUGGGGGACGUGAAAAGCAUACAUGGAUUCCCCUUCACUUCCAGAAAAUUCUUUUCAGCUGAUAUGACGCUCCAGGUACAAGAACCGACCAUCCCCUGAGCCCAUUAACGCCAGGAUGACCAAACAUCACGUGUCGUGGAGGACUAAAACGUUUGUAGGUACUCUUAGGUAAGUUAGAUAAUUUGAAUGUUUGCUUUGAAUAUAUCCUAAUGUACAAAUCUUUUACUCAACAAAACUCUCCGUCCAAAAGUAACAGUUUAAAUUCCAAACUCAGUUAUCCUGCACCCUUUAUGUAAUAAUGGACUCGAACAAGU